ACGCUGACACCUACGGGGGCAGCAGUUGGGAAUAUUGGACAAUGGAGGAAACUCUGAUCCAGUGACGCCGCGUGAAGGAAGAAGGUCUUCGGAUUGUAAACUUAUUUUGUCAGGGAAGAAAAAUGACUGUACCUGAAGAAAAAGCACCGGCUAACUACGUGCCAGCAGCCGCGGUAAUCUGAGCGGGCUGGCAGGC
rnacentral:rRNA from 1 species